rnacentral:tRNA from 1 species
UUAGAGAUAGUUUAUUUUAGAACUUUAACUUUGGGAGUUAAGAGUGCCUUUGGGUUCUUUAAA